rnacentral:rRNA from 1 species
AUGCUCUUUGAACACGUUGCUCGGGAGCUUGGAGCAGAACUUGGUAAGGUUCUGGAGGUAGAUGCGGAUAGGGAAGGUAGGAUUUGGGGGGACUACAUGAGGGUCCGCAUAAACCAUGAUGUCAAUGAACCCCUCCGUAGCGAACUAGAAUCACAUGAUCUGGCCAAGGGCAAAGUGUAUGUACUGAAUGUCAAGUAUGAGAGGCUGCCUAGGUUUUGUUGUUAUUGUGGUCACCUUGGACAUGGGCAGCGCGACUGUAAGCUGCCGGAGGACCUCCAAGAGAUGAGGUUCCCGGCAGCACUGUGCUCGUCCCCGUUCAGAAGGAGCAACCAUAGGGGUGGGUUUGUAGUGCCAGAGGCAAGUAGCGCCCGUCGAUUUCUGCACUUUGGGACAGAAGACACCGGACCGGCAAAGACAGCACCGGCAAGGAUAGCAACUGAGAAAUACAACUCCGUGCCGGAUGAUGUGCUGACCGACCCGCUGGUGCAAAAGGCUAUUGAAGCGGUUAGCGCACUCAGGUUGGAUGCAGAAAGGAUCAGGCAAGUGGGGCAAGGGCUGGUAUCACAGUAUGCUGGUCUGUAUGGUGCUAAAGCAGCUGGUGCUAUAACGAAGGCGACAGAUGAAGAUGGGACGAGCUCUAUACCCACCACCCCUAUUCAUGAUCCAGCAGCAUAUCAGGCCAAAGAAGAACAGAUGAGCCUCUCCCAAGGGUCGCAGAUGGGUCUUGGGGGAACGGAUGCGAAUGGAGUUAACGGGACACUUAUGCAAGAUGGAGGCAACGAGAUGGUGCAGAAGGAUGGAGGAGGAACAAAAGAGAACAGGGUGGAUCCGAUGCAGGGAAGAGUGAAGACCCAGGGGCAAGUUCAAGACAGGAACCUGAAGAUGGCAGUGGGGGAUACAGUUUCAAUUCUGGGAAAAAGAGGUGAACGUGCGAUAGGAGCAAACUUAACUGAUGCUGGUAGGGAUGUUACAAAGGGCACUAUCCAGAACAAGAAGAAGAAGUGGGCCAGCAAGAACAAUGGAAAGGAUGACAAGGGGGAUUUUAACGAGGCUAUGUGGCAAAGCGAGCAUCUAUCCAGAGCUAAGAGAUCAGAGAAAGGUAUGGCUGAGUUCAGAUCGCUGCUGUCAGACUGUAAUCUGCAUGAUAUGGGUGCUGCCACCUUAUUUACUGGGGGAUUUGGGAGGCCCGUGCUCGGCUGCAAGAAGCUAGGCUGUAACGAGGCCUACCGCUUCAUCGCCGGCUGGGGAAGAUUAUUGAUGCAGAACGGCCCGGACGUGGCGAGCGACGUGAGGGCCGAGGACCUAGACUUGGCCAUGGUGGACCUGUGGGCGUUCCGGUUGCCGGCGCUGGAGGUGGGCGUCACCGGUAGCAGGCCAAGCGCGAGUGGUGGCUGGCUACGGAGGUUGACGCGCGCGGCCACGGCCGUGCACCCGGAUAGCCUGCCUGCUACGUCGCCAUCGUUGGGACGCCGGGCGGGACGAAGGGGGGUCCGCGUGAGGGAUCGCCUGCUGCGGCGCCAGUGA